CCUACGGGUGGCUGCAGUGGGGAAUAUUGGACAAUGGGGGGAACCCUGAUCCAGCCAUGCCGCGUGUGUGAAGAAGGCCCUCGGGUUGUAAAGCACUUUCAGUGAGGAAGAACGCCUGGUGGUUAAUACCCAUCAGGAAAGACAUCACUCACAGAAGAAGCACCGGCUAACUCCGUGCCAGCAGCCGCGGUAAUACGGAGGGUGCGAGCGUUAAUCGGAAUUACUGGGCGUAAAGCGCGCGUAGGUGGCUUGAUAAGCCGGUUGUGAAAGCCCCGGGCUCAACCUGGGAACGGCAUCCGGAACUGUCAAGCUAGAGUGCAGGAGAGGAAGGUAGAAUUCCCGGUGUAGCGGUGAAAUUCGUAGAGAUCGGGAGGAAUACCAGUGGCGAAGGCGGCCUUCUGGACUGACACUGACACUGAGGUGCGAAAGCGUGGGUAGCAAACAGGAUUAGAUACCCGAGUAGUC
rnacentral:rRNA from 1 species